rfam:Capsicum annuum cultivar Zunla-1 chromosome 1, whole genome shotgun sequence
GUCCGUUCAAGGACAUUCAAUAAAAUUGAAAUGAUACAAAGAACACUAGCAUGACUGCUCCGCAAGGAUGACAUGCACAAAUUGAGAAUCGAAAGAAUCAUAG